rnacentral:rRNA from 1 species
AUUGAACGCUGGCGGCAGGCCUAACACAUGCAAGUCGAACGGUAACAGGAAGCAGCUUGCUGCUUUGCUGACGAGUGGCGGACGGGUGAGUAAUGUCUGGGAAACUGCCUGAUGGAGGGGGAUAACUACUGGAAACGGUAGCUAAUACCGCAUAAUGUCGCAAGACCAAGAGGGGGACCUUCGGGCCUCUUGCCAUCGGAUGUGCCCAGAUGGGAUUAGCUAGUAGGUGGGGUAAAGGCUCACCUAGGCGACGAUCCCUAGCUGGUCUGAGAGGAUGACCAGCCACACUGGAACUGAGACACGGUCCAGACUCCUACGGGAGGCAGCAGUGGGGAAUAUUGCACAAUGGGCGCAAGCCUGAUGCAGCCAUGCCGCGUGUAUGAAGAAGGCCUUCGGGUUGUAAAGUACUUUCAGCGGGGAGGAAGGGAGUAAAGUUAAUACCUUUGCUCAUUGACGUUACCCGCAGAAGAAGCACCGGCUAACUCCGUG